rnacentral:lncRNA from 1 species
ACUUCAGGGUUGUUUUACUUGAUUGAGGGAUGAAUGCUGACUGUGACUGGGGGAAUGAAGAAACUCCUGACCCCCAGGUUCUCUAACAUGGAGCUGGAGCAAGGAGUAAUGUGUUGGGAGUCUAGGCACAUUCAGAACAGUCAAACCCAGGAAAUGACUUUCUCACCCAGCAUGGCCCUCCAUGCCUGACAACGGGAACAAGGUUGGAUUGCAGGCAAGCCUGGCUGUCCAACCCCCGAUAGUCACCAAUCCAGAUCAGAGUGGGCUACAGGGAGCAGGGUAAGCACAUCUCAUAAUACACAUGCAUAUGGGCAUUAGCAGAGCUGGAAAGCCAAACGUGCAGAAGGGAUGG